CCAUGGCCUCAGCGAGGAAAAAUACAUAAAUUUGCUGCACCGUCUUAUAAGCCGCAGGGUUCAAAGUGUAGGGAAAAAAAUUAGCGACUUAUAGUAAAAAUUUACUGUUAUACAAGCUGUACACUGAUUACUCUGAUGUAAAUCUAAGUUGGUAUGAAGAUAAAAUGUGAGGAAUAAUAUUAAGGUGAUGAUAAAAGAUUGUAAAAAAUAUGAUAGGUAUUGUCUGAAAAAUACUGUCUUCUCUAAUAGGCAACACCUUACCCUUAAUAGAGCCCUACUACUCUCUGCAGUUGAGUAAAUCUCAAAAAGCCAUUUUGUGAUGUGAGGAAAUGUUUGCUAUCAAAGCCCUAAAAUGGAAAAGUCCGACAUGUGCCGUUUGAAUUGAAUUGAACGGCAAUAGCUUUCAACUCGGCGUGGCGCAGUGGGGAGAGUGGCCGUGCGCAACCCGAGGGUCCCUGGUUCAAUUCCCACCUAGUACCAACCUCGUCACGUCCGUUGUGUCCUGAGCAAGACACUUCACCCUUGCUCCUGAUGGGUGCUGGUUGGCGCCUUGCAUGGCAGCUCCCUCCAUCAGUGUGUGAAUGUGUGUGUGAAUGGGUAAAUGUGGAAGUAGUGUCAAAGCGCUUUGAGUACCUUGAAGGUAGAAAAGCGCUAUACAAGUACAACCCAUUUAUUUAGAUGCGUUCAUUUCUAGCCUUUCUUCCGAAGUUUCUUCAUCGGUUCCUUUUUGCUCCAGGUCUGACUCUGGAUCGUACGUAGUAUUGGAUGUUAAAAUACUUACUUAAGGAUAAGAUAAAUGGGGCGACAGAUACGAUAUGAACCAUUGACAUGCGUUCAUUUCUAGCCUUUUCUUACAAAGUUUCUUCAUCGGUUCCUUUUUGCUCCAGGUCUGACUCUGGAUCGUACGUAUUAUUGGAUGUUAAAAUACUUACUUAAGGAUAAGAUAAAUGGGGCGACAGAUACGAUACGGCGUGGCGCAGUGGGGAGAGUGGCUGUGCGCAACCCGAGCGUCCCUGGUUCAAUUCCCACCUAGUACCAACCUCGUCACGUCCGUUGUGUCCUGAGCAAGACACUUCACCCUUGCUCCUGAUGGGUGCUGGUUGGCGCCUUGCAUGGCAGCUCCCUCCAUCAGUGUGUGAAUGUGUGUGUGAAUGGGUAAAUGUGGAAGUAGUGUCAAAGCGCUUUGAGUACCUUGAAGGUAGAAAAGCGCUAUACAAGUACAACCCAUUUAUUCAGAUGCGUUCAUUUCUAGCCUUUCUUCCGAAGUUUCUUCAUCGGUUCCUUUUUGCUCCAGGUCUGACUCUGGAUCGUACGUAUUAUUGGAUGUUAAAAUACUUACUUAAGGAUAAGAUAAAUGGGGCGACAGAUACGAUAUGAACCAUUGACAUGCGUUCAUUUCUAGCCUUUUCUUACAAAGUUUCUUCAUCGGUUCCUUUUUGCUCCAGGUCUGACUCUGGAUCGUACGUAUUAUUGGAUGUUAAAAUACUUACUUAAGGAUAAGAUAAAUGGGGCGACAGAUACGAUACGGCGUGGCGCAGUGGGGAGAGUGGCUGUGCGCAACCCGAGCGUCCCUGGUUCAAUUCCCACCUAGUACCAACCUCGUCACGUCCGUUGUGUCCUGAGCAAGACACUUCACCCUUGCUCCUGAUGGGUGCUGGUUGGCGCCUUGCAUGGCAGCUCCCUCCAUCAGUGUGUGAAUGUGUGUGUGAAUGGGUAAAUGUGGAAGUAGUGUCAAAGCGCUUUGAGUACCUUGAAGGUAGAAAAGCGCUAUACAAGUACAACCCAUUUAUUCAGAUGCGUUCAUUUCUAGCCUUUCUUCCGAAGUUUCUUCAUCGGUUCCUUUUUGCUCCAGGUCUGACUCUGGAUCGUACGUAUUAUUGGAUGUUAAAAUACUUACUUAAGGAUAAGAUAAAUGGGGCGACAGAUACGAUAUGAACCAUUGACAUGCGUUCAUUUCUAGCCUUUCUUCCGAAGUUUUUUCAUCGGUUCCUUUUUGCUCCUGGUCUGACUCUGAAUCGUACGUAUAAAUGGAUGUUAAAAUUAAUUACUGUUGCCGUUAAUUUUUCAGCUUAAAAAUAAAUAUACUUAGAAUAAGAGAUUUUUCAGUGUUUUGCUUGUGGAAAGCAACUCUUUUAAACUACAAAUAUGGCCGCAGAGGCGGGGACAUAGGUUCAGUCAGCGGGAGGGGGUUAGGUGGGGCAGCUAAAAAGUGGCUUGAAGAUAUGUCUUGACAGCAAAAUGUAUGCAAAAUUAUGACCAAAUAACCAUAAUUACAUGUUAUGUAGACCACUGUACCCCAACCACCGGUCCGUGACACAUUUGCUACCUGGCCGCACAGAAACAAUAAUUAAUUUAUAAACUACCGCAUUUUCUCUUACUUAAUUUUUGCCUCUCCCACUAAACCAGGGGUGUCAAACUCAUUUUAGAUCGGGAGCCACAUGGAGAAAAAUCUACUCCCACGUGGGCCGGACUGGUAAAAUCACGGCACGAUAACUUAAAAAUGUGUUCGAUAAAACAUUUAUGUUGUUUUUUUUACAUUUAACAUGUUGUGGUUAGUAGUAUUCUAUCUUUAUUUGUCGUUAUUUUUACUUUCUGAAUAAAUUAUGUGACAAUGUUCACCAGUCAACUCAUUGGUGUUAAUUUUAUCCAUCAAGAUAAAAAAAAUAUCAAAAUCAAAUUACAGAAUUGUAUUUAUUUAGUGUUCUCAUUUUCCUUGACUGGUGUACUAACAUGUGGUUUCUUUUUUGUACAUAUGUAGCAUAAUCUACAAUGAAUUGCUAUAGUGACAUCUAGUGGACACAUUUAGAACAGCAGUUUCUUUUAUUAAGCUUAGCAAUCUUAUCCCGGGGGCCAGAUCCAGCCCGCGAGCCGUACGUUUGACACCCCUGCCCUAAACACACCAAUAAGCUUGUUAAUAGAUGUAUAUUACAUCGCCUUUGUUGUAGUUCAAGGGACAAUGCACAUUAUUGGACAUAUACAAUGUUAAUGUGCCAGAUUGUAGCCAAAGGUAACAUUUUUAGCAAAUUGUUUUGCCCUUUUUAUCUGCAAAAGCAGGUCUGUGAAAAUAAUGCAUCUAUUUAACUGGUCCCUAAUGGAAAAAAUGUUGGGGAAAGCAGAUGUAGACCAUGUUGAGAGUACCACUUCAGAAAUCAUUAGGCUUUCCACGUACCACCAUAAUGACUAACAUUAGAAAACAGUAGCGGAGCAGGCGUAAGUAUUCAUUAAAAACAAGGCAGAGGUUUUAUUUAACAAGUAUUUCAUGGCCACUGUAAGAUGACACACAGUUUGAACAGUAACACUGUGCUAGGAUAUAGGAAAAUAAAAGGUUGUACUUUAAUCAAGUGAUUCUUUGGCGUGCCACAGGAUGGAGCCUGUACCACAAUUUGUGAUGUAGACCAAAAAAAAAAGUGUUUUGAAAAUAGAAAAAUAAAACUUCAUACUAGGUCCCCUUUAAAUGAAUAGCCCAAAGUUUUGCUGCUGGAUUUUAAGCAAUUUUAUGAGGGACCAAACCUUGCACCACAAACAUUUUUAAAGAGUUUACUGUGACAAAUGUUCAAAAGAGUCUUUUACUUAAACAUUGUCUUGCCAAACUGGACUUUCUGUACUUAAGAUAGUCUGCAGGUACAGAAUAAAUGUUUUUCUCUACUCUUUUUAUUAUAUUUGCUCAUUUUCACUACUGUACAUGUAAAUUAAAUCUGUCUAGUGUACCCGGUGUGAUUUUAUUCAAUGUGCUCCUUUUGGUCUCAAAUAUUCUUGCAUGGGUUCUGUCAUUAAUAAAGAAGAAAAAAAAGAUUGUGCAUGUACUGUUGCAUCUUGAUAAAUUAAAAUAUUUAUUGAUUGACA